GUUGGGCAUAGUGGCACAUGCCUGUAAUCCCAGCAGCUCAGGAGGCUGAUGCAGGAAGAUCAUGAGUUCAGAGAAAGCCUCAGCCAAAAGUGAGGCACUAAGCAACACAGUGAGACCCUGUCUCUA
rnacentral:sRNA from 1 species